GGGUCAAAACUGGUCAAAACGCUUUCUAGAUUCUGUUCCUCUAAGAGAUAUAAGAGAAAAUGGACGUUGGCAAUGUUUUAAGUUUCAAACCCUGAAGGCCGUAUCCAGAUUGCAUAGUCGCGAUGCGGAUGCGAUGAGCAAAUUGCAUUCGUGACUCAACUCUACAAGCCAUUCGCUGAGUGUUUGGGUCCGGGGUCCACAAGCUGGCCAUUUUUCGCUGCUCUCAUACGACGUGUCACUAUUAUUGACAGAACGUCAUCAAUGCCACAGGCAAGAAAUUGGUAAAAAAUUGAGAUCAAGUUGAAAAGGCUGAGCAGCAAAUUCAAGACAUUGGAUCUCACCUGUGCCCAGUCUGAGCAGUUCAACAUGGUUCAACCCCAGACCUCCAGUAGAUAGGUUGUGCCCAAUACGAUGACAUUUGAAGUGUCUUCCCAAUGCUGUUUGCUACCUUACAACCGGUUGUAUGUAUUAUCGAAUUGUUUGAAGGUUUGGUUAUGACUGAGAGGAUGCAGCUUAUGUAUUGAAAGUUCGUCGGUGUCUCUACAUCAACGUGGACCAUCUUUUAAUUUUGUUGGUUACAUUAUUCGUUUCAAGAAUGGAUGCAUCUGGUGUCAGUUGCCAGUGGCCACUAGCUAAGUCGCAACGCAUCCAAACGUGGCUUUCAUAUCUUAAGGCAUCCCGUCAUUUGUUGUCGAAAUGCUGUUCGAAGAAAUCAAGCAGACCCAUCCCCAGCCACGUCAACCUGAAGAAGGAAAGGACAGUUGGCAUUUUCUUCACACUCGAAGGUCGCGGAUAUCAUAAGUCAUAACGUAAAACGUGUCAUGCCACGGGGUAGAGGUUGGGUGAGAGAGCAGAAAGACCCAUCCCCAGCCACGUCAACCUGAAGAAGGAAAAGGCCAGUUUUUUGGCAUUUUCUUCACACUCGAAGGUCGCGGAGAUCAUAACGUAAUACGUAUCAUGCAACGGCGGAGAGGUUGGGUGAGAAAGUUUCUUAAAAGGUGAUAAAAGGCGAAAUAAUUAGUCGAGUGAUUAUCUCUGACUUGACGACAGCUGCCGUGCACUAUUUGUCCCCAACUGCAUUCUUCAUUUUAUGAAGGGUGUUUAGUAAACUGUGGCGUCGUGCUGAGGCUUUAGAAUACUACACUGCAACUUAUGCUGCCCCGAGCUGCUUAACCAAAGAGCCUGAGUACUGCAUCGUGAUUCCAUUCGUUUUAAGCCAUAACCAUUUGGUAUUAAUUUGAUAUUGUUUGUUUUACACCCAUCCACGGCAACGUCAACCUGCAGAAGGAAGAGGCCAGUUUGCAUUUCCUUCACUUUCGAAGGUCACGGAGAUCAUUACGUAAAACUGUCAAUGCGGUGGUGUAGAGGUUGGGUGAGAACGGGAAGUGUUUGCUUUGCUUUAUUAUCAAGCAAGUAUAAUAGCCGCAGGCCUUAAGAGAGGGGUCAGGGUGAGAAAAAGUCGUUUAAAUGGCAAGAGGAAAAGCCACGGAACUCAGUCGAGUGAGGAUCUCCGACACGGCAACAACUGCUGCGCCAUAUGUGUCACCAACUACCUUCUUCGUCACAUUGCCAGUUCGCAAUCAUGGUUUAGUUAACUAUGGCGCAGUGCUGAUGUUUGGUGUUGUAUCGUUAAUGAUUAAGGCACUACACUGACGUCCUGAAGUAUUACUCUGCCCCGAGUUACUACACCACCAAGGGCCAAGGCGACGGAGCAUGACUACGCAUGCUGCCCUAUCCUACUACACCGAGGCCCCCAAGUGUUGCUCUGUUCUGAGCUACUUAUUGCACCGAUUUUCCUAAAUACUACUCUGUUCCCAGCUGCUACACCGAGGCUCCCGCUGAUUACUCCACCAAAACGGUCGAAUACUACAUCGAAGCGGUUAAGUACUACUCGGCCCCGAUUUACACAACCAAAACUGAGGCGGCCAAGUAUUACGCUGUCCCGACGUACUACAGAGAAGCUGCUCUUUCGUGCUACGUUGAACAGAAAUACUACACUUAUGCUCCAGUUCACUACACUACGAUCACGCUACACCGCAGCCCCCAGGUACUACACCGAAGAAGCCGCCUAUUAUACAACAACGUAUGCUGCCUAGUUUAUUACACCGAGAAUCCCAAGUACUACAUCACUAAGGCACCGGAAUUCUACACGUCUAUGUAUGCUGCCCUUGCCUACUACACCGAGGCCCCAAGUAUUACUGUGCGUAAAAGGAGUCGUCUAAAAAAAAAGUCAUCCCCGAACUGCAGUGUGCCCUAUCUGUCACCAACUGCAUUCCUCAUCGUGUAACCGAUUCGCAAUUCUGGUCAACUAUGGCGUCGUGCUCCUGUUGGGUGUUGUAUCGUUGAUGGCUGGAUCGAACGCAGGUGUAGUGAUGUCUUCUUGAUAUGGCGGAUAUCAAACCGCAACGCCGCCGCCUUCCUACACAACUUACGCAACGAUCAGUUUCUGCACCAACGUCUUCAAGUACUACGCCACUAAAGCACCGGAGUUUUAUACCAUGCACAACUUAUGCUGUCCCGAGCCACUACACUGACACCCCGAAGUAUUACUCUGCCCCGAGUUACUACACCACCAAGGCGACCGAGUACUACAUGACAAGGCAUGCUGCCCCAUCCUACUACACCGAGGCUCCCAAGUAUUACUCUGUUCUCGGCUGAUAACUUCACCAAAAUGGUCGAAUACUACACCGAAGCGGCAAAGUACUUCUCUGCCCCGAGGUACUCAACCAGAACUGAGGCGGCCAAUUAUUAUGCAGUCUCGAUUUAAAACCCAGAAGCUGCUCUUUCGUGCUACGUUGAACAGAAAUACUACACUGAUGCUCCAGUCUUCUACACCACGACCUACGCUAUGUGCCACCAACUACCUUCUUCAUCGCAUUAUCAGUUCGCAAUCAUGGUUUAGUUAACAAUGGCGCAGUGUUGCUGUUUGGUGUUGAAUCGUUAAUGGUUGGGUCGACCACGGGUGUACAUAUGUCUCCUGGACAUGGUAGAUACCAAGCAACGGCAGCGAAGGAAUAAUAAACCACGCCGUCGCCUUACUACGAAACGAAGUCCACACAAGCAACGUCUACUUACUACGCCGAGGCCUUCAAGUGCUACACCACUAAGGCUCUAGAGUUACGCGACAAAUUAUGCUGCCCCGAGUUACAUCACCAAAGCGCCUGAGUACUACACCACCGAGUACACUGUCCCAGCCUACUACACCGAGGUUUCAGCUUAUUUCAAUGCCGAAGCGGUCGAGUACUACACCGAACCGUACAAGUACUACUCUGCACCGAAGUACACAACCACAACUGAGGCGGCCAAGAACUACGUAGCCCAGACUUGCAACACAGCAGCUGCUCCUUCGUACUGCGUUGAACUGCAAUAAUACACCGAGGCUUCAGUUUACAACAGCAUAACCCACGCUACACCUAGAUACGAAGACCCCAACUACUAUACCCAAGAGGUCACACCACGUACACUGCCCCAUUUUACUACACUGAGGAACCCAAGUAUUACUUUGCUCCAAGCUACUACAAAACUGAGGCUUCUGUUUAAUACACCAAGUCACCGAGUAUUACAGCCAAAUGUAAGGUGUCGUGCUGCUGUUGGUUGUUGUAUCCUUGGUGGUUGGGUCAAUCACUAGUGUACCGAUGUCUCUUGGUGGUGGAUACCGAACCACAACGCCGCCGUCUUACUGCACGACAAAAACGUAUGCAACAACCGGAGUACUACACCACUGAGGCACAGUCGGAGUACUACACCACUGAGGCACAGUCGGAGUACUACACCACUGAGGCACCGUCGGAGUACUACACCGUCCCCAGCUACUACGCCACCAAGGGAAAAUGCUACACCGAAGUGCCCAAGCGCUACUCUGCCCCGAAUUACUACACAGCGGCUGCUCCUUCGUACUACGUUGGACCGAAAUACUACAAUGAGGUUCCAGUUACUACACUACAACGUUUACUACACUAUUGCCCUCAGCUACCAUACCGAGGCUCUGCUCCCAUACCGAUGCUCCCAAGUACUACAAUACCAAGGCACCCGAGUAUUAUAUCACUACUUAGGCAGUUCCGACCUAAUGCACCGAAGCUGCGAAGUAUUCCACUGCUCCGAGUUACUACACCAUCAAGGUACCCCUGGAUAUUACAUCUAAACCUACGGUUCUCCAGUUCAGUACAGGGAGGCUCUUAAAUACUAGAGUCGAAAUUUCUGAUUUAUUUAUUUGUGUACAGAUUUUUCGGUCAUUAACUAACAGUUACUAGUCACUGGGAAGUGUUGUUGAUCUUAAAUGAGAAAAUAAAUGUUUUAAUGGUAACCAUCUUUUAA